GUACUUGCUUCGGCAGUACAUAUACUAAAAUUGGAACGAUACAGAGAAGAUUAGCAUGGCCCCUGCGCAAGGAUGACACGUACUAUACCCUAAAUUUACUACGUAAUA